CAACUGUUGCAGAAAUUGAAAACACAACAAAGUCUGAGCUUCAUGGCUGUCGUUCAUUAACAUGGUUUUGUUGCAGCCAGCUGGUGAAAGGUGUGAUCGAGUCAAGUUGAGCUGCAGCUGCCGCAUGCAGUUUAUCAAGCUGGUGUUAUCUAAAGUGUCACUGCAGGAAGACUUCUUGAAUUGGAGUUUGUGGUUGGUUUGGUGUAGCUGUUUGGUCUACAGUGGUUUUGCAGCCCCUUUCCAAUUGAGAGAUCCUCUGAAAUGGAGUUUGGUGCAGACUUGCAGUUCAACAUCACACUUAAAUGUUUCAUUUGCCUAUGUUGGUGUCCAUGCAGUAUUUGCAGUGUUGAACAGUUGGGUAAAAUAGUCAAUGUUGCCUGGUGGCUGUCAGUCUUAUUUUAUCGGCUGCAUUUUGUCGAUAUGUCGUCUCUUGGUACCGGCGUUGAGUUUCAUCGUUUGCUGCCGUUCCAUAGACUUGAUCCAUUGGUAAACUGAGGAGAGGUUGCU